rnacentral:rRNA from 1 species
GACGAACGCUGGCGGCGUGCUUAACACAUGCAAGUCGAACGGAAAGGCCCUGCUUUUGUGGGGUGCUCGAGUGGCGAACGGGUGAGUAACACGUGAGUAACCUGCCCUUGACUUUGGGAUAACUUCAGGAAACUGGGGCUAAUACCGGAUAGGAGCUCCUGCUGCAUGGUGGGGGUUGGAAAGUUUCGGCGGCUGGGGAUGGACUCGCGGUUUCUCAGCUUGUUGGUGGGGUAGUGGCUUACCAAGUCUUUGACGGGUAGCCGGCCUGAGCGGGUGACCGGACACAUUGGGACUGAGAUACGCCCCAGACUCCUACGGGAGACAGCAGUGGGGAAUAUUGCACAAUGGGGGGAAGCCUGAUGCGGAAACGCCGCGUGCGGGGUAGCGGCCUUCGGGUUGUAAACCGCUUUCGCCGGUGACGAGGCGUGAGUGACGGUAAUGGGUAAAGAAGCACCGGCUAACUACGUG